rnacentral:tRNA from 1 species
GCGGCAGUGGCUCAGGGUUUGAGCAUUAGACUUGCAAUCUGUAGGUCCUGGGUUCGAAUCCUGCCAUG